UCCCUGGUGGUCCAGUGGUUAGGACUCGGCGCUUUCACUGCUGAAGGCACAAGUUCAAUCCCUGGUCAGGGAA
rfam:TPA: Bos taurus chromosome 19, whole genome shotgun sequence.